CAGGCAUGAGCCACCGCGCCCAGCCAAAAUAGUUUCUUUAACAUAACCAUGCUUAUACCAAUGCAGUACUAAAAUAUAAUUUGUAUAUAUUUUCAUGAAGGAAGGGACCCACAAAGGCAAGUGCCUAGGACCCACACAAAUCACAGUGUGGCUCUUGCUCCAACCAUGGGAGAAGCCACAGAAGAGCAUUCCAGGCAGAGGGCACGGCAAGUGCAAAGGUUCUGAGGUGGGAAUGAGCUGGACAUGUUUGAGAAACAGCAAGAAGGACCUCAAGUGAGCCCACAUUGGCAGUGACAAUCAGAAUGUCAAAAUGUCUCAGAGGAUUUCUAGGAAAUCUGUGGCACUUCACGAAGAGGCUGCCCCGGGUGAGAGACCAGCCAGAGUGAAUCGUUAAUACACUUCCCAGGAAGGGGGAUUCUUCUGAAAUGCUAAUACAAUCAACUGCAAGGCAAACUUCAAGCUUCUUUUUCAGUGAUCAGAGAGGCCCUCCCAGAGCAAGGAUGCUCUCCACUGUGCAAGCUAAAGGCCCUACUUUCUCACCCAGCCUUUUCUGGGGAGGAGAAACACAUCCUCACCACAUUGCAGCUGCCCUGCGAGGGCUGCAGGUAUUGUGUGUCCCCACCAGCCAGGGCAGUUCCCAGACAGACUCUGGCUGCCUGGACCCAGGUCUGCUCCAAGGAAGCAGCACGUUUCUGGAGGAGGCUUAGCCAAGAAACCAUUACGGAGUGAGAGAGGAGUUAUCUGGAUAAAUGCGGAACUGCCCAACUCCUAGCAUUUGUUCCUGGGACCCAGGCUGUAACAUCCUCUGGAGCCAAACUGCCUCUGUUCAAACCCUUGUCCCCGCACUCCACCUCCUAGCUGUGUGGCACUG
ensembl:lncRNA novel transcript